UUUAUUUACAGUAUAUUUAUAUAUAACUGUUUGAGCGCGUCGAGAUCAUGAGCAGACGCACGCUUGUCGCAACAGCCAAUCGGAAGCAGUAAUAGUUCUGGAGACUGUAGUCGCAUUAUCUUACAUAUACGUAUGAUGCGUGAGUGUGUCAUAUAUACGUAUACGUUUGUGCUUGUGCUGUCGAGCACUUUUAAUUGUAUACAACAUUUUUAUAUGGGUAGCUGGUGAUUCAAGAUCUAUUUUUCGACCUAUAUAAGAGAGAAAUUUGCAGAAGAAAAGAAAUAUACCAAAGUAUUAAGGAUCGAACAUAUUUUUGAUGUACUUGGACCGCGAGGCUGAACAAUAUUCUGAGGAAAGUAUUAUACAAGAUACAAAGAUUGGACAAUAUCUCCCCUUAUCUUUCAUUGACAAUUUGAAGAUAUGCUAAAAACUGAUCCAGAAGCUUUCAUGCAAGUUGUAAACAAGGUUAUGUUAAUUGGAGGGAAACAUGAAAAGGAUUUUAUUAGAAGAAGUUUGAGUGCUACAUUUUCUGAUGACUUAGCCUCCAUGUGUUUAUGGACUGGCCAAAAAAAUAAUUAUAAAAUUGGAGAUACGCAAUUCUGAGCAUUAAAAGUAAGUAAUUUUUUAAGAGAUGUAUAUAUUACUUGCAGUAUUAAAUGCUAUGUUUUAUGUCUCAGAAUUUAUUAAAAUUGUCUCCUAUUUUUUUGUAGCAAUCAUCGUUAAAAAGCAGGACACACAUACACGUUAAAAAUUCUUACAAAAUAAAAGAAAAAUAUAUAUAUCCAUAAACUAAUACUUUUGAUCGAUUUAGUAUAUGUAAACUAUUCCGGAAACUUUUGUGUUAUUUUAAUAAUUAUCAUA